GUGCGGUCACAAAAAACAACGUUUUUUGAACGUUGGCUCUGCCAACGGCUCCGAAGGAGUGAGUAAACCACGUUAGUGAUUUACGAAUAAUUUUGAC
rnacentral:ncRNA from 14 species